rnacentral:lncRNA from 1 species
GGAAGAAUUGUCUCUACUAUACACUUGAUGGCUCUUGCUUAACGUGUACUUUGUCAGUGGAGCCCCCCGUCCAUAUUUCACAGUGAGAGAGAGAGAGAGAGAGAGAGAGAGAGAGAUUCCUUUGAAUGAGAAUCAAAUCAAUAUGCAGAACAAUUCCCUGCUACUCUGUAUAGUUUAGUGGGUGCAUCGAAUUAUAAUUCACUGAGCAAAUAUGGCGGAUAUCAAAGAAGAUAUAGGUCACGCCCAGCAGCAGCACUUGAAUCUGACUGUUGAAGCUCCAAAAAUGGAAGAAAAAGAAGAAGAGAGAGAGCAGAUGAAGACCAAACGUGUGGCUUCGCUCGAUAUUUUCAGAGGUCUAACAGUUGCU